GAUGAAGAACGCAGUGAAAUGCGAUAAGUAAUGUGAAUUGCAGAAUUCAGUGAAUCAUCGAAUCUUUGAACGCACAUUGCGCCCAUUAGUAUUCUGGCGGGCAUGCCUGUCCGAGCGUCAUUUCAACCCUCAAGCCCCCGGGCUUGGUGUUGGGGAUCGGCGAGCCUCCGCGCCCGCCGUCCCCUAAAUCUAGUGGCGGUCUCGCUGUAGCUUCCUCUGCGUAGUAGCACACCUCGCACUGGGAAACAGCGCGGCCACGCCGUUAAACCCCCAACUUCUGAACGUUUGACCUCGGAUCAGGUAGGAAUACCCGCUGAACUUAAGCAUAUCAAUAAGCGGAGGA
rnacentral:misc_RNA from 1 species